rnacentral:rRNA from 1 species
AGAACGAACGCUGGCGGCAUGCCUAACACAUGCAAGUCGAACGCUCAUCUUCGGAUGGGAGUGGCGCACGGGUGAGUAACGCGUGGGAACCUGCCCCGGGGUUCGGGAUAACCGAUGGAAACGUCGGCUAAAUACCGGAUACGUCCUAAGGGAGAAAGAUUUAUCGCCCUGGGAGGGGCCCGCGUCGGAUUAGCUAGUUGGUGGGGUAACGGCCUACCAAGGCGAUGAUCCGUAGCUGGUCUGAGAGGAUGAUCAGCCACACUGGGACUGAGACACGGCCCAGACUCCUACGGGAGGCAGCAGUGGGGAAUAUUGGACAAUGGGCGCAAGCCUGAUCCAGCAAUGCCGCGUGAGUGAUGAAGGCCUUAGGGUUGUAAAGCUCUUUCGGCGGGGACGAUGAUGACGGUACCCGCAGAAGAAGCCCCGGCUAACUUCGUGCCAGCAGCCGC